GAGUAAGUAAUAAAUUUAGCCUAAUUGUGUGAAUUAGUCGCCAAUGUAAUAUGAAUUCUAAUGGCUGAGGGGUGUGAGAGUUACACUUGUAGGGAGCUCACACUGGAGAAGCAAUCCUGGGAAGAGAAGUUGCAAAUUCUUCAUCCUUCAUUACUACCAAUGAACUGAUUGCUCGAAGAAAUGCAAGGGUGGUUGCAAAUAAAAAUCAAGCUGAAGUUGUUGGUCACCAAUCAUCUGCACAAGUUGAAGGUCUAGAUCUCCCAACACAGCAAAGCACAAACAACUAAUGAAGACAAAUGAAUGUUUUUGGUUAAUAGUGUUUAUAUUUUUAUCCUAGUGGAGGAAAAACAAUAUGUUGUUUUAAAGUUAUAAUCUUUUGUAAACUCCACAUGAGAACUGAUGAUGUGCGAGGAUGUAAUCUGUUGUUUUUGUUAAUGGGAUGUCAAUUUGGCUCA